rnacentral:rRNA from 1 species
GAUGAACGCUGGCGGCGUGCCUAAUACAUGCAAGUCGAGCGAACGGACGAGAAGCUUUCUUCUCUGAUGUUAUCGGCGGACGGGUGAGUCACACGUGGAUAACAUACCUAUAAGGCUGGGAUAACUUCGGGGAACCGGAGCUAAUAACGGAUAAUAUUUUGAACCGCAUGGUUCAAAAGUGAAAGACGGUCUUGCUGUCACUUAUAGAUUGCUCCGCGCUGCAUUAGCUAGUUGGUAAGGUAACGGCUUACCAAGGCAACGAUGCAUAGCCGACCUGAGAGGGUGAUCGGCCACACUGGAACUGAGACACGGUCCAGACUCCUACGGUAGGCAGCAGUAGGGAAUCUUCCGCAAUGGGCGAAAGCCUGACGUAGCAACGCCGCGUGAGUGAUGAAGGUCUUCGGAUCGUAAAACUCUGUUAUUAGGGAAGAACAUAUGUGUAAGUAACUGUGCAGAUCUUGACGGUACCUAAUCAGAAAGCCCCGGCUAACUACGUG